rnacentral:misc_RNA from 1 species
GACUUUUUUGUCAUACAUUCUCCCUGUUGAUUGGUUUGAACACUACCGGGAGCGAGUGAUUGAAGCUGAGCAAAUGAUACUGACAACUCUAAAUUUUGAACUUAAUGUGCAGCAUCCAUAUGCUCCACUGACAUCUGUCCUUAACAAAUUAGGGUUUUCACAAACAGUUUUGGUGAACCUGGCCUUAAACUUGGUCAGUGAAGGGCUUAGGAGCUCACUGUGGCUUCAGUUUAAACCUCAUCAUAUUGCUGCUGGUGCUGCUUACCUUGCUGCCAGGUUUUUAAAUUUGGAUCUGGCUUGUCACCAAAAUAUCUGGCAGGAGUUUCAAACAACACCAGCCAUUAUCCAAGAUGUGGCACAGCAGUUGAUGGAGCUCUUUUAAUAAGACGAUACUAGUUAGUAGGCUUGUGGGCUGAUGAUACAAUUUAGGUCUUGUCGGUACAUAUUGAAAUCAGGCUAUACAUGUUCUGAUAUUUUAGCGAACUGGGAAGAUCAUGAUGGUGUUUUGCAAUGUGAAAGUGCUUGCAAAAGAGAUGUAUUCUGGGGUCUGUCUCUAAAUUGGCUGUUGAACAUGUUAAAUGGAUAUGACUCAUGAGCGCUGUAAGAGUGUCAUUCUAAUGGAAUGAGGCUGAAUGUUUUAAUUUUUGGGUGGUUUUAAUUUUAUUGUUAUCGAGGGUGCUGUAUAUAGAUGUGCC